rnacentral:rRNA from 1 species
UACGGAGGAUGCGAGCGUUAUCCGGAUUUAUUGGGUUUAAAGGGUGCGUAGGCGGGCUUUUAAGUCAGCGGUAAAAAUUCGGGGCUCAACCCCGUCCGGCCGUUGAAACUGGGGGUCUUGAGUGGGCGAGAAGAAGGCGGAAUGCGUGGUGUAGCGGUGAAAUGCAUAGAUAUCACGCAGAACCCCGAUUGCGAAGGCAGCCUUCCGGCGCCCUACUGACGCUGAGGCACGAAAGCGUGGGGAGCAAAUAGG